rnacentral:rRNA from 1 species
AGCGAACGCUGGCGGCAGGCCUAACACAUGCAAGUCGAACGAUCCUUCGGGAUAGUGGCGGACGGGUGAGUAACACGUGGGAACGUGCCCUUUGGUUCGGAACAGCUCAGGGAAACUUGAGCUAAUACCGAAUGUGCCCUUCGGGGGAAAGAUUUAUCGCCAUUGGAGCGGCCCGCGUCUGAUUAGCUAGUUGGUGAGGUAAAGGCUCACCAAGGCUACGAUCAGUAGCUGGUCUGAGAGGAUGAUCAGCCACAUUGGGACUGAGACACGGCCCAAACUCCUACGGGAGGCAGCAGUGGGGAAUCUUGCGCAAUGGGCGAAAGCCUGACGCAGCCAUGCCGCGUGAAUGAUGAAGGUCUUAGGAUUGUAAAAUUCUUUCACCGGGGACGAUAAUGACGGUACCCGGAGAAGAAGCCCCGGCUAACUUCGUGCCAGCAGCCGCGGUAAUACGAAGGGGGCUAGCGUUGCUCGGAAUUACUGGGCGUAAAGGGCGCGUAGGCGGACAGUUUAGUCAGAGGUGAAAGCCCAGGGCUCAACCUUGGAAUUGCCUUUGAUACUGGCUGUCUUGAGUACGGAAGAGGUGUGUGGAACUCCGAGUGUAGAGGUGAAAUUCGUAGAUAUUCGGAAGAACACCAGUGGCGAAGGCGACACACUGGUCCGUUACUGACGCUGAGGCGCGAAAGCGUGGGGAGCAAACAGG